GUGCUCCCUUCAGCAGCACAUACACUAAACUUGGAAUGACACAGGGAAGAUUAGUAUGGCCUCUGUGCAAGGAAGGAUAUGGCACGCAAAUUCGUGAAGUCUAGUGGCUCUGA
rnacentral:snRNA from 1 species